AUUGAACGCUGGCGGCAGGCCUAACACAUGCAAGUCGAGCGAGCGGCGGACGGGUGAGUAAUGUAUGGGGACUGCCCGAUAGAGGGGGAUAACUACUGGAAACGGUAGCUAAUACCGCAUACUAUCGGAUAACCCAUAUGGUAUGAGCUAGUAGGUGAGGUAAUGGCUCACCUAGGCGACGACCCCUCGCUGGUCUGAGAGGAUGAUCAACCACACUGGGAGGGCGACCCGGCCCGAACUCCGACGGAGGCAGCGUUGGGAACUAUUGGACAGUGGGCGCAAGCCUGAUGCAGUCAUGCCGCGUGUAUGAAGAAGGCCCUAGGGCUGUAAAGUACUUUCAGUCGGGAGGCGUUACCGACAGAAGAAGCACCGGCUAACUCCGUGCCAGCAGCCGCGGUAAUUC
rnacentral:rRNA from 1 species